rnacentral:rRNA from 1 species
CAAUACGUCAGCGGCAGACGGGUGAGUAACGCGUGGGAACAUACCUUUUGGUUCGGAACAACACAGGGAAACUUGUGCUAAUACCGGAUAAGCCCUUACGGGGAAAGAUUUAUCGCCGAAAGAUUGGCCCGCGUCUGAUUAGCUAGUUGGUGAGGUAACGGCUCACCAAGGCGACGAUCAGUAGCCGGUCUGAGAGGAUGAUCAGCCACAUUGGGACUGAGACACGGCCCAA